rnacentral:rRNA from 1 species
UACGGAGGAUGCAAGCGUUAUCCGGAAUGAUUGGGCGUAAAGGGUCCGCAGGUGGCACUGUAAGUCUGCUGUUAAAGAGUGAGGCUUAACCUCAUAAGAGCAGUGGAAACUACAGAGCUAGAGUGCGUUCGGGGUAGCAGGAAUUCCUGGUGUAGCGGUGAAAUGCGUAGAGAUCAGGAAGAACACCGGUGGCGAAAGCGUGCUACUAGGCCGUAACUGACGCUGAGGGACGAAAGCUAGGGGAGCGAAUGGG